rnacentral:misc_RNA from 1 species
UCGUAACAAGGUUUCCGUAGGUGAACCUGCGGAAGGAUCAUUAAUUAUGUUAAAGCGCCUUACCUUAGGGUUUCCUCUGGGGUAAGUGAUUGCUUCUACACUGUGAAAAUUUGGCUGAGAGACUCAGACUGGUCAUGGGUAGACCUAUCUGGGGUUUGAUCGAUGCCACUCCUGGUUUCAGGAGUACCCUUCAUAAUAAACCUAGAAAUUCAGUAUUAUAAAGUUUAAUAAAAAACAACUUUUAACAAUGGAUCUCUUGGUUCUCGCAUCGAUGAAGAACGUAGCAAAGUGCGAUAACUAGUGUGAAUUGCAUAUUCAGUGAAUCAUCGAGUCUUUGAACGCAGCUUGCACUCUAUGGUUUUUCUAUAGAGUACGCCUGCUUCAGUAUCAUCACAAACCCACACAUAACAUUUGUUUAUGUGGUGAUGGGUCGCAUCGCUGUUUUAUUACAGUGAGCACCUAAAAUGUGUGUGAUUUUCUGUCUGGCUUGCUAGGCAGGAAUAUUACGCUGGUCUCAGGAUCUUUUUUUUUGGUUCGCCCAGGAAGUAAAGUACAAGAGUAUAAUCCAGUAACUUUCAAACUAUGAUCUGAAGUCAGGUGGGAUUACCCGCUGAACUUAAGCAUAUCAAUAAGCGGAGGA